rnacentral:rRNA from 1 species
AGAAUCUUUCUCAAUGGGCGCAAGCCUGAAGGAGCGACGCCGCGUGGGGGAUGAAGGGCUUCGGCCUGUAAACCCCUGUCAUUUGCGAACAAGAUCGGCCAUUUAAAAGAUAGCCGGUUUGAUGGUACCGAAAGAGGAAGGGACGGCUAACUCUGUGCCAGCAGCCGCGGUAAUACAGAGGGCCCAAGAGUUGUUCGGAUUCACUGGGCGUAAAGGGUGCGUAGGUGGUGGGGAAAGUUCGAUGUGAAAGCUCCGAGCUCAACUCGGAAAUGGCAUUGAAAACUACCCUGCUCGAGGAUUGGAGGGGGGACUGGAAUUCUCGGUGUAGCAGUGAAAUGCGUAGAUAUCGAGAGGAACACCAGUGGCGAAGGCGAGUCCCUGGACAACUCCUGACACUGAGGCACGAAAGCUAGGGGAGCAAAC